rnacentral:rRNA from 1 species
AUUGAACGCUGGCGGCAUGCUUUACACAUGCAAGUCGAACGGUAACAGGCCGCAAGGUGCUGACGAGUGGCGAACGGGUGAGUAAUGCAUCGGAACGUGCCCAGUCGUGGGGGAUAACUACUCGAAAGAGUAGCUAAUACCGCAUACGAUCUAUGGAUGAAAGCGGGGGACCGUAAGGCCUCGCGCGAUUGGAGCGGCCGAUGUCAGAUUAGGUAGUUGGUGGGGUAAAGGCUCACCAAGCCAACGAUCUGUAGCUGGUCUGAGAGGACGACCAGCCACACUGGGACUGAGACACGGCCCAGACUCCUACGGGAGGCAGCAGUGGGGAAUUUUGGACAAUGGGCGCAAGCCUGAUCCAGCAAUGCCGCGUGCAGGAAGAAGGCCUUCGGGUUGUAAACUGCUUUUGUACGGAACGAAACGGCUUUGGUUAAUACCCGGGGCUAAUGACGGUACCGUAAGAAUAAGCACCGGCUAACUACGUG